AUGAGUGGAGAAGGCGAUCAAAGCCUAAAUGGAGCAGAGAGGCCUUUGCCAGGGGCCCGGCCGUUGGGGGAAGAGACGCUGCAAGCCAUAGCUUCCUCUACGGGGUACCCCAGGCCGAACGGCGUGACCCAGAGGAUUCCCAGAGGAGGAAGAGGUGUUUCGGCGGCUGCAGAAACCAGUUGGGGAUCUGGAGGAAGCAUGCCGGAGACCGUGGCCCUGCGGUUAUCCAUCCUGGAAACUAAUUUAUCCAGGCUGUCGGAAACCGUGGGGAGGUUGGUGCCACUAUUGGAAGAGAAUCUCCAGAAGGAGCCCACCCGAUAUGGCGCCGAGAGAGAGCCAAGUAAAGAAGAAGCUUGGAGCCAGAGGGGCCAGCGCGCCUCAACGCAGAGCCCCGUGGCGGCGAGGGGCGAGGGGGAUGAGGAAUACUGGCAGGAACUGGAGUUCCGAGACAGAAGGGCGCGCGAAGUGGAGCGCCAGCAAGCUCUGGGAACUCUGAGGCCGCCAACUCCAACAGAACCUCCAACCCCCCGAAUGGGCGUCGGGGUGGAAAGACCACUGGGGCCAGGGAUCGGGUCCAGUGGAUUGGCGGACGAAGGCGGAGAGGAGCCGGAGAUCCAGGAAGAGGAGGAGGAUGUGCCGUACGACGAGGGAAGGCGAGGUGCGGGGGCUACAGCGAGGCCCGCAUUCGGAUGGGUGGAAGGGCCGACAGCAGCGGCAGAAUUUCGGGAGCCGCGCAGAACGACCGCCGGAGUGGGGCGCGGCGUGUUCAAAGGGGCCGUCCAAGGAAACCCGAUGCAACCCUUCCCCAUGCCUCCCAGACAGCAUCAACGGGCCGCAGAAUGGAUGCAAAGGAGGGAAGAGCUCAAACUGGAAUACGGAGGGGAAUCAUCUGAACUGAACUUUUUCCUCAUUAGCAUCAGAGGAUAUAUGGAAGACAAUGCACACACAUUCCCCUCCGAAGGAAGCAUGGUUCGGGCCAUCGGCAACACACUAAAGAGAGGAGCAGCCAGCUGGUAUGUGCAACUACAUGCCAGACGCGACCCGUGCCUGAGGUCAGUACCCCGCUUCCUCGCCGCACUGGAAAACCGGUUCAGAGACCGGCUAGAGCAAUUGAGGGCUUGA
rnacentral:lncRNA from 1 species